UGCCUGGAAAAUCCCAUGGAUGGAGGAGCCCGGAAGGCUGCAGUCCAUGGGGUUGCUGAGGGUCGGACACGACUGAGUGACUUCACUUUCACUUUUCAGUUUCACGCAUUGGAGAAGGAAAUGGCAACCCACUCCAGUGCUCUUGCCUGGUGAAUCCCAGGGACAGAGGAGCCUGGUGGGCUGCCGUCUAUGGGGUCGCACAGAGUCGGACACGACUGAAGUGGCUUAGCAGCAUGUUUGUCAUAGCUUUUCUUCCAAGGACCAAGCAUCUUUUAACUUCAUGGCUGCAGUCACCAUCUGCAGUGAUUUGGAGCCCAAGAAAAUAAAGUCUCACUGUUUACAUUGUCACUGGAUGGAUGGAUCGUUUCCACUGAUCCAUGCAUCACAUGAUGUACUCUGCAUGUAAGUUAAAUAAGCAGGGUGACAAUAUACAGUCUUGAUGUACUCCUUUCCCAAAUUUGAACCAGUCUGUCACUCCAUGUCCAAUUCUAUUUACUGCUUCUGGAUCUGUAUACAGGUUUCUCAGGAGACAGGUAAGGUGUUCUGGUAUUCCCAUCUCUUUAAGAAUUUUCCACAGUUUGUUGUGAUCCACAUAGUCAAAGGGUUUAGCGUAGUCAAUGAAGCAGAAGUAGAUGAUUUUUGGAAGUCUCUUGCAUUUUCUGUGAUCCAGCAGAUGUUGCCAAUUUGACCUCUGGUUUCUCUGCCUUUUCUAAAUCCGGCUUUUACAUCUGAAAGUUCUUGGUUCACAUACUGUUGCAGACUAGCUUGAAAGAUUUAAAGCAUUACCUUGCUAGCAUGUAAAAUGAGCUUGAUUGUGUGGUAGUUUGAACUUUUUUUUUUUGCAUUGCCCUUCUUUGGGAUUGAAAUGAAAACUAACCUUUUCCAGUCCUGUGGCCACUGCUGAGUUUUCCAAAUUUGCUGACAUAUUGAGUGCAGCAGUUUAACAGCAUCAUUUUUUAGAAUUUGAAAUAUCUCAGCUGGAAUUCCAUCACCUCCACUAACUUUGUUCAUAGUAACAUUUUCCUAAGGCCCACUUGACUUCACAGUCCAGGAUGUCUGGUUCUAGGUGGGUGAUCACACGAGUGUGGUUACCCCAGUCAUUAAGAUCUCUUUUGUACAGUUCUUCUCUAUAUUCUUGCCAUCUCUCCUUAAUAUUGUCUGGUUCUGUUAGGUCCAUACCAUUUCUGUCCUUUAUUGUGCCCAUCUUUGCAUGAAAUGUUCCUUUGGUAUCUCUAAUUUUCUUGAAGAGAUCUCUAGUCUUUCCCAUUCUAUUGUUUUCCUCUAUUUCUUUGCAUUGUUCACUUAAGUAGGCUUUCUUAUCUCUCCUUGCUAUUUCUUGGAACUCUGACUUCAGAUGGAUAUAUCUUUCCUUUUCUUCCUUGCCUUUUACUUCUUUUCUCAGCUAUUUGUAAGGCCUCCUCAGACAACCAUUUUGCCUUGUUGUGUUUCUUUUUCUUGGGGGUGGUUUUUGUCACCAUCUCCUGUACAAAAGAAUAAUUUUAACACUUUUGGAUUUAUAACAUAUCAAUAUGUAAUAUAUAUGAGAAAAUGAGGCUAUAUUGGAGCAAAGUUGCUACACUUUGCCAGGAUUGUUACUAUUAACCAAAAGUAGAUUGUGAAAACUUAGAAAGCAUACUGUAUUUCUUAAAGUAACCAUAGGAAUAUAACAGCAAACAAUUAUAGUCAAACCAGCAGAGAAAUUAAAAUGCUGCACAAAAAGUAUUUAACAUAGGGAGAGCAAGAAAGGAAGAGCAGCAGUCAAAAAAGACAUGAGACAUAAAGAAAACAAAUAGCAAAAUGCCAAGUAUAAAUCCAACCAUAUUAAUAAUUCCAUUAAAUGUAAAUGGGCUAAACACUGAUUAAGUGGCAGAGGUUGUCAGACUGGACAAAGGUCAAGAUACAAUUAUAUGUUGUCUAUGAGAUAAAUUUCAGAAUUAAUGAUACAGCUGGCUGAAAAUAAAAAGAUAAAAAUAAAAAUAAUAUACCAACUCAGUUCUUAAAAAAUACACCAAAGACCUUAUCACCUCACCAAAGAAGAUAUAUACAUGGUUGGUGAAUAAACAUGAAAAAUGCUCCCCAUUAUAUGUCAUCAGAGAAAUGCAAAUUAAAACCAUAAGACAUCACUACACUACUGAUUAGAGGUAUACAGAUACUUAAUUAAUCACCAUUGUCUUUUUUAGACAUUACCAUGCAAUAUUUGGGCUUCCCUGGUGGCUCAGCUGGUAAAGAAUCCACCUACAAUGUGGGAGACCUGAGUUUGAUCCCUGGGUUGGGAAGAUCCCCAGAGAAGGGAAAGGCUACCCACUCCAGUAUUCUGGCCUGGAGAAUUCCAUGGACUGUAUAGACCAUGGGUUCACAAAGAGUUGGACACAACUGAACGACUUUCACUUCACUUCACUUCAUGCAACAUUUAUCUAAAUGGAUGGUGAAUAGUGAGAACAUUAUUUACUAUUUUGGAAAUUAAAAGGUUGG
ensembl:lncRNA